AAUAUUUCUAUUAUAUUUUCAUAGAUUGAAUGAUUUUUGGUAUGAAAGGUUAUUUUUCUCUACGAUCCCGAAAAGUAUUAUCGCAACAUAAAAUGCAUAUAUUAUACACUUGUUUUAUUAUAUAAAGUACUGGUAGUCAUUCGUUAGAGCUAUAUGUAAAACAGUUUAGAAAGUACACACAUUCCGAUCGAUACUUUGAGGUGUAUUCGAUAAGACUUUGUUAUGAGUAGAUUUUAAAUACCACCGUGUAUUAGUUGUGUGAACUAGUCCGUACACAAUAACAUUGUUGAUAGAUUAUAAAUAGAAAACAUAAACAAAGUUGUAUUAGAUAGCGAACUACGUUUCUGCACAUAUUUAAAGUAUUGUCCGAGUUAUGUUUAUUGUAUACACAAGGACAUUAUUUAUAUUGUAUGUUUUAUAAUAAGGUCUAUGUUUAAAUACGGUUUCAUUAAAAUCCGUUAUUUAACAUUGUAAUUUUGGUUUACAGAACUUGUAAGCUGUCAUAUAGAUAUCACUUUGUGAUAUAACAGUAUGUACGUUUGAAUUGGUUUGUGCCACGACAGUAACAACCUUGCUCCACAAGUUGGGUGUUUUACGUUACUGAUUAAUAAAUAUCCUGAACCCUAGCAAACUGACUUUAGUUAUCCUUGAGGUCUAAAAGUCAGCUAUUACAUUUGGCGCCCACUACCGGUUUUGAUGGCACAGAUCACCGCUAGGAGCAAUCUGAUGAGCUUACCUACGAUGUCAAUAGUUACCACGUGUUUCCGGAAGUAUGGUUUGUUGUGAUCACAUGAGAUGUCCACCACGUGUUGUUUAUCAGCAAAAGAACUACAUGUGCGUGUUACCGGAUGUUUACAUUCUACACCGAAAGACAACAGUACAGUUCAGUACAUGUGUUCCGGAAAUUACUUUAAAUAGUAAUCGAACUUUUAGGUUUUCAAUUUUGGAAAUAGAACUUAGUUAUUUUGUGAUUGUGAAUUUGAAAUUUAUUUGAUUUUGAUAUCAUUGUUUAACAUUGAUCUGAAGUUGAUACUGUGGAAUACUUAGUGCAUAUUGAAGAACUUGUAAGCUGUCAUAUAGAUAUCACUUUGUGAUAUAACAGUAUGUACGUUUGAAUUGGUUUGUGCCACGACAGUAACAACCUUGCUCCACAAGUUGGUAAGGAUUAGUAAUAUGUUAUUAGAAUUAUAAUGUAUUUCGUUUAAAAGGUUGAAUUAACUAUGGAGUAUGUUAAGCACAUAGUUUUGAUAAAGAGUUAUUUCCCUUGAUUUUAGAUGCUUUUAAUAUUUGUUUAAUUUAUCAAUGUUGUUAAUCUGAACAACUAAAUAUUAUAUGUAAAGACAUUAAUACUAUGAUUUGAUGAUUAAACAUAAUAUUUGAUCUCAUUAUGUUCAUAACUUAAAUGUAUUUUUGAAGUGCAAUGUUUU